rnacentral:rRNA from 1 species
UAAACAUAGCCAGUACACAUACCCCACUGUCCGCCCGGGAACUACGAGCACCAGCUUAAAACCCAAAGGACUUGGCGGUGCUUUAAACCCACCUAGAGGAGCCUGUUCUAGAACCGAUAAUCCCCGUUCAACCUCACCCUUCCUUGUUCUUUCCGCCUAUAUACCACCGUCGUCAGUUUACCCUGUGAAGGUCAAAUAGUAAGCACAAUCGGCACAGCCCAAAACGUCAGGUCGAGGUGUAGCGUAUGGAGGGGGAAGAAAUGGGCUACAUUCCUUGAUACUAGGGCAUACGGAUUGUAUGCUGAAACGCAUACCUGAAGGAGGAUUUAGCAGUAAGCAGGAAGUAGAGUGUCCCGCUGAAGCCGGC